rnacentral:lncRNA from 10 species
AAAGUACAGCUAAGCUUUCUCCAUUUUAACUACUCCUCUUAGUCAGUCAGCUCAUAGCUGAUCUACCCAGAAAAGACAACUGGCUACUCUUUCAACGCACCAUGACAACAAGUCAGACUUUAAGAGCUAUUCACAAACUAGGAGAAAAACAAGAAGUAAAAGAGACCAGACAAGCAAAGGAUGCACAGCAACUUAAAGCCUGAAGACAGAAGAUACACAGUUGACUCUUUAACAACAUGAGUUUCAACUGUAAAGGUCUACUUAUACUCAGAUUUGCUUCUGUCACCCGAGACAGCAAGACCAACCCCUCCUUUUCUUCAGCCUACUCAAAGCGAAGACAAUGAGGAUGAAGACCUUUAUAGUGAUCCACUUCUGCUUAAUGAAUUAUAAAUAUAUUUUCUCCUCCUCAUAAUUUUCUUGGUAAGUUUUUUUCUCUACUUUAUUGCAAGAAUACAGUAUAUAAUACAUAUAGCAUACAAAGUAUGUGUUAAUUGACUGUUUAUGUUAUCAGUGAGGCUUCCAGGCAACAGUAGAGACUAUUAGUAGUUUAGUUUUCAGAGAGUUAAAAGUUACAUGCAGAUUUUCAACUGCAUGGUGGGUCAGCACCCCAACCCCCACAUUGUUCAAGGGUCAACUGUAUUAACAAAUGCAUAUAAGUAGCAGUCAUAUACA